AGUGGCGGACGGGUGAGUAACGCGUGAGAAUCUGCCUUGGGGUCGGGGACAACCACUGGAAACGGUGGCUAAUACCGGAUAAGCCGAUUGGUGAAAGAUUUAUUGCCCGAAGAGGAGCUCGCGUCUGAUUAGCUAGUUGGUGAGGUAAGAGCUCACCAAGGCAGCGAUCAGUAGCUGGUCUGAGAGGACGAUCAGCCACACUGACUGAGACACGGCCCAGACUCCUACGGGAGGCAGCAGUGGGGAAUUUUCCGCAAUGGGCGAAAGCCUGACGGAGCAAGACCGCGUGAGGGAGGAAGGCUCUUGGGUUGUAAACCUCUUUUCUCAGGGAAGAAGCUCUGACGGUACCUGAGGAAUCAGCCUCGGCUAACUCCGUGCCAGCAGCCGCGGUAAUACGGAGGAGGCAAGCGUUAUCCGGAAUUAUUGGGCGUAAAGCGUCCGCAGGUGGCGAUUCAAGUCUGCUGUCAAAGCACGGGGCUUAACUCCGUAAAGGCAGUGGAAACUGAAUAGCUAGAGUGCCGUAGGGGUAGAGGGAAUUCCCGGUGUAGCGGUGAAAUGCGUAGAGAUCGGGAAGAACAUCGGUGGCGAAAGCGCUCUACUGGACGGCAACUGACACUCAGGGACGAAAGCUAGGGGAGCGAAUGGGAUUAGAUACCCC
rnacentral:rRNA from 1 species